UACGUAGGGUGCGAGCGUUAAUCGGAAUUACUGGGCGUAAAGGGCGCGUAGGCGGCACGGCAAGUCAGGAGUGAAAGCCCGGGGCUCAACCCCGGAAUGUCUUUUGAAACUGCCGAGCUAGAGUGCGGAAGAGGCAACUGGAAUUCCCAGUGUAGCGGUGAAAUGCGUAGAUAUUGGGAAGAACACCUGAGGCGAAGGCGGGUUGCUGGGCCGACACUGACGCUGAGGCGCGAAAGCCAGGGGAGCGAACGGG
rnacentral:rRNA from 1 species